UUUCAGUACGUCAGAAUGCACUGUUUUUAUCAACAGACGCUUCCAGUCAUCCUUCUAUGGAGUCCGCCAUGUUGAAGUGCCAGUUUCGAGGCCACCUCGCAGUUCUCACUCUCAGACGAAGCAGCUAUGGCAGUGACACAAGCAAGGACAUGGAACUCAUGAGAACUGCAAGGAGUGGAAGAGGAGUGGAUGGAUGCAGGUGUGAGAUGUGACACAUCUGUCAUACAGGAGACGAGCGCAUACAAGGGAUCUACUGAUACACAUUUAACCCACGGAGGACUCGUUCGUAUGAGACAGCUUUCACUCUGUCACUGCUAACAGAGACUUCAGUCUGCAGUGUAGUUCAUACACCUCACUGAUAAACCUGAGAAUUAUAGUAACACAAGGCUUCAGACCAGAUUUUUUUU
rnacentral:lncRNA from 15 species